rnacentral:tRNA from 2 species
GCUCCGGUAGCCCAAUCGGCAGAGGCCAUCGUCUCAAACACGAUCCAGUGUGGGUUCAAGUCCCACCCGGAGCA